UCUCAUCCUUUACCUCUCUUUCAACAUUUAUCAUUUAGCCAGGUUGGUUGUGAAUCCGGUCGACCGUCGCUUUGGUUAAGACGCCAUAUUCCUUCAAAGGGAUAACCGUUUGAAAGACCUUUCUCCCUAACUCUUGCUGCUGAAUAAUCAUCUCCUUUCCUACGACAAGGCUCUGAUAUCUCUUUGAUACAUGCGCCUAUAUGUCCCUCUUAGUUUUAUUCUUUCUUCUUCUUUAUAUUUUGGUGUUGGAGUCAUCUAGCCAUCGCUAGGGUUUAAAGAUUAUAAUUGUAAAAAAUUCUUCAUGCACACCAUGUUGCUUCAAAGUGGAUCCACUUUGUCUUCAUGUUAGACUCUCUUGUAUCCGUCGUCUGGAUAAUUACCUACUUCCAAUGUCUCCCGAUUGUCAGGAUAUAUGGGCUAGGGUUCUUCUUACCGACUUCUAUUAUUGCAAAAAACGCCUCCCUAUUUCAUCCUUUUUCGGUUUUCUUGUUCCCUGUUGUUGACGAUGUUUGUCUUUAUUCUAUUUGAAUCCUAUCACAGAAGAAGGCACAAAGGGCGAUUAGAGGCAAGCAUGUGAGAAUAAUUCGCGAUUCAUACUGGGAUUGGACCUGUUGACUGUGGUGCCCAGUUAUUUGGGGUUUUUGCCGACUUUCGAAUCAUAAAAAUGUUAUUUGUAACCCGAUUGAAAAGUUUUCUCUUAGGUUUUCUUACAAAUAUUGCGAGUUUAAGUUGGAUUUUUUUUGUAAGUUUUGUGAUUUUAAACAAGUUCUGAUUUUUUUUUUUUUUUGAAAGUUUAACGAUUUUUAAUAGUUUCUCGGUAAAAGAAUGUCUUCGCGGCUUCCUUUCUACUACUGGUUUGUGGUGGUGGACAUAGUCUUUCCUCUAUCUCGGUUGCCUUCCAUUUCCAUUCCCACUAACCACAAUUCUUUUGGUUAUAGGUUUUUGUUUUCUUUUUAUUAAUGCUUCUUGCACAUCUAUAUUUCAUGCAUUAUAUUUUUGCGUGCUUCCCGUUACACUUAAUUUCCAUUUUGCCUAACCACAUCUUGAAUAAAAAGAGAAGCUUUCAAGGAAAAUUUUAAAAUGCUAGAGUUUUGGUGAAAUUUUUCCCAAAUUUAUGGUCUUUUAAUCAAGUAUGCACUAAAAAAAGUCCUUGACUUGUGUAUUUCCCAAUGGAUUUCCAAUGGUGAUUCAAUAGACAAUUAUAGUAUUUACACCCCCUCAUGUAAAGUUAUUACUUUCAAUUAAAUUAGAGAACUCUUUUAUUAAAAGAAGAUACUAACAUUAUGAAGUUUUUUGGAGCACAAUCAACAAUCAUAUUAUUAGUAUUAUGUGAGUUUGUUAUUUUCUCUAUUUCAUAUCCAUGGUCGGUGUUACUUUUAUAUUAUGGCAGGUCCUUAUGAUGAUUUGGGCGACACUAAGGAUUUUUCAAAUGAUGGAACACAAGUGAUGGCUUUGGUAGCAAAGUGAAAAGUUAACUGAGAACAUUAUUUUUGCAAUAGUCAAGGCCAACAAAAGGAAGGAAUAUGAGGUAUCUAUCUCUUCAACCAGGUGGAGAUUUAUUCACAAUUCUGGAAGAGAUAAUGGUCAAAUUUAUUUUGUAUUGUGAUUUAGAGUCCUCUUUAUUGCAAUUAAUGAAGACAAAGUCACGUUUGUGGAUUUUGAUGGAAUGUAAUGGUAUUGGAAUUGGGAUUACAUGUAUUUUGUAAAUAUAUUGUGGAAGUGAAUGUAGGCAAUUAGUCUUUA